rnacentral:misc_RNA from 1 species
AGCAACAAUCUAGUUUUAAA